rnacentral:tmRNA from 1 species
GGGGGUGUACUGGUUUCGACGGGAUUGUGGGCGGUCAGGUAAGCGAGCCGUGGCCCCGAGCCACGUAAAAAUCGGGAAAUUAAAAAUGAACUGACAAUAACGAUUAUUGCCUCGCGGCCUAAUUAGGCUGCGCGUCGGCCCGAUGAUCCCGCUGCAUCGGAAUCCGGCGUCAUUUAGCGGGCCAUGUUCCUGCCUAAGCUUUGCAGCAUGAACACAUUAUGAAGCUACUGAAUCCCUGAGCCCGUUCGUGGGCGCUGGGAAGAGGGAAUGUUAAAACGCGAACUGCGCUCGGAGAAAGCUCGGCUGUCGCUUUUUCGGACAGGAGUUCGAUUCUCCUCACCUCCACCA